GGCGGCAGGCCUAACACAUGCAAGUCGAGCGGUAGAGAGAGGCUUGCUUCUCUUGAGAGCGGCGGACGGGUGAGUAAUGCCUAGGAAUCUGCCUGGUAGUGGGGGAUAACGUUCGGAAACGGACGCUAAUACCGCAUACGUCCUACGGGAGAAAGCAGGGGACCUUCGGGCCUUGCGCUAUCAGAUGAGCCUAGGUCGGAUUAGCUAGUUGGUGAGGUAAUGGCUCACCAAGGCGACGAUCCGUAACUGGUCUGAGAGGAUGAUCAGUCACACUGGAACUGAGACACGGUCCAGACUCCUACGGGAGGCAGCAGUGGGGAAUAUUGGACAAUGGGCGAAAGCCUGAUCCAGCCAUGCCGCGUGUGUGAAGAAGGUCUUCGGAUUGUAAAGCACUUUAAGUUGGGAGGAAGGGUUGUAGAUUAAUUCUCUGCAAUUUUGACGUUACCGACAGAAUAAGCACCGGCUAACUCUGUGCCAGCAGCCGCGGUAAUACAGAGGGUGCAAGCGUUAAUCGGAAUUACUGGGCGUAAAGCGCGCGUAGGUGGUUUGUUAAGUUGGAUGUGAAAUCCCCGGGCUCAACCUGGGAACUGCAUUCAAAACUGACUGACUAGAGUAUGGUAGAGGGUGGUGGAAUUUCCUGUGUAGCGGUGAAAUGCGUAGAUAUAGGAAGGAACACCAGUGGCGAAGGCGACCACCUGGACUAAUACUGACACUGAGGUGCGAAAGCGUGGGGA
rnacentral:rRNA from 1 species